rnacentral:misc_RNA from 1 species
UCGCUCGUAGCGGAAGCCGCGUCCACGCCACCACAAGGCGAAAGCUUCUCUCACACAUCUACAUCACAAGCUCACGGUGAAGUGUGCACAGACCCCACGUAACGUGUUCUUGCCCGCAUCAGCGCUGCCAUUCGUUGGCAGUGCUUCUUCCUCCGCGCGCGCCCCUACCCCCACCCCCCCCCCACACACACACAACUCUGUGAGCGAGUGGUUCUGAUCGGCUGUGUAAGGGGUGGUGCGGGUUGCGUGGGUGUGCGUAUUUAUCAGCAGCGCGUCCCUCCUCUGUUGUGUUGCCGUUGUCGUCUUCGCGCUUCUCCUUCUUACUCCUCUCUGGGCCUCUCUUGUGUGCACUAUUCUCGCACUGGCAUCGCCCUAUACGCACCCAUACGUUCAUUUUCGCGCACGCGUGUGCAUCAGUCGCGAUCGCCUAUCGCUCUCAUCUUUUUUUCUCUGCCCGUCUGUGUGUGUGUGGGUGGGUGAGUGUGUGCUGUAGUGUAACGGCGUCUUCAACUCUUGACGACAACGGCGAGUGUACCCACGGCAAACCGCCGCCCUGCCCCGCCCCUCCUCCUUUUUUUAUUUCUAUACACGCAUAUAUAUAUAUAUAUAUAUGUGUGUGUGUGUCUUUGUGUGCGUCUCUCCUUUUUGACUGUGGCCGACCCCCGGCGGCUUUCGUGUAUUGGAGCGCCCCCCCCCAUCUCUCCCUCCCUCUCUCCCUCUCCGCCACGUGCUGCGGGUUUGCGCUCGUAUCACCUCCCUUUUAUUGUUGUUGCUCUUGUUGGUGUGUGCUGUGCGUUUAGUUAGCCGGCUCGUUGCUUUCAGUUCGCCGGACGACUACGGCGCCUCUUCUCUCCCCACCCUUUUCCCCCACCCCCCUCCACACCCGCCUUUUUGUUUUCUUCGGUUUCGAUCUCGUCUUCUUAUCUAAAUACUUCCAGUCUGUCUGUGUUGUGAAUGUCUUUCACGUGUUUUUCCUGCGUGUGUUUGUUUCGUGGUUGUGGUUGUGGUUCGGUGUCGAGGCGCCUCGAACCUCGUUCUUCCGCUUGUGUAUGAGCGGGUGUGAGGAGGUGCGUGUGUUUCCCGCUAGCAGAUUUAAUUUGGUCCCCUCCUGUUGUUGUACUGUGCUCCCUCUCUGUGCGUGUGUGUGUGUGUGUGUGUGGUCGAGCUGAGGCAGGCGACAUCACCCACCAUUCGUGUGCGUCGUCUGCCUCUUGUUAUUACUAUUGUUUCGCUUCUCUGUGCUUCUUCGAGGAAGGGGAAAAGGGGAAGGAGGGGAAGGAGGGCGGUCGCACGACCAGACGUAUUGAAGGAUGGGCGCGUUACCGAGUCGGGAGUCGAACGAGGACCCGUCCUCCGUCUUCUUCGCGAACUGCGGCUCGCACGUCGUCUUCCACAUCCCCAUGACGGAUCAUUACUUCCCCUCUCCGCACAGCCUUGCCUUCCGUCAGCUCUUCCAUGCACGCAACAAUCAGUCGGCGCUGUACUGCUUCGACAUGAAGGACGUGUCAUCUGUGAUGCCGAAGGACGUGGCAGCGGCAUUCCGUGAGGCACAGGAGGAGGACUGGGGCGCGGAGGUGGACGAGGUGGACCCCAGCCUGCACUACUACGAUGACGAGAUCCGCGAGAAAGUUCUCGAGUGCGGCAGAAACGCCGAUUCUAUCUGCGAGGACGCCGGCGCCGGCGCUGCUGUGCCGCGCGUGCCACGGAUCGGCCGGCAUCUCCGCCCCUCCAUUGAGGACCGCGAGGAGCUCUACCGUGUGCUCGUGACGGAGCCGAUGGAGGGCACCCUCGUCGACACAGACUCAGAGAUGUGUGCGCUAUUUGAGCAGGAGCAGCGCUGGCGGGCCGCCUUACCGCACCUGUCUAACGGGCAGCAGCAACACGGCAGCCACACUGGCAAGCGGUGCAACGCCAACGGCGGCCACGGAGUCGACGAGAAGGACGCCGACCAUGCUCAGCCAGUCGCGGGCGCGAGUGCGACAAGGCAGCAAAGCCACGACAAGGUGGUGAAGAAGGGUCACAGCGCGGCAGCGGCGAACGGCGCCGGCGUCGGCGAGGCCGCAACCCACAGCCCGUCCGUCACCCGGCCAGCCAUGUCCUCGGCGCCGCCGCCGCCGGCAAAGUUCUUACAUCCCAUACCAAGGGCAAUAGCCCUGCGCUUGACAACGGAGGAAGAGGAGGAGAUGCGCGCCGAGUAUUGCCGCCAGCAUGGCAUCCCGUACGUCGCCCCGGCAUUCCACAGCGUCGGCACAGCGACAGGAAACCGCGCUGACGCCUGUGCUGGCGGAUUUUCUGCUCAGCAGCAGCACAUGGCGCCGCCGACGCCGUUGCCCGUUGUGGAGCGUCGCCACUACCACUUCGAGGACGACCCACAGUACCGCGACGGCCGCGUCCAUCUUGUCGAGGAGCACGGCGUGCUCUACCACUUUGCCUACUUUGCCAAGCGGCCGUCCCCGACGGUGGCCGCCGUCGCUGUUGCCGACUCCUCGCGCAGCUCGCAAAAAGGAGUGACGACGGACGGCACUGCGCCGUCUGGGGUGCUGACAGCUGGUAAGACGCCGAUCUCGCAGACGCCGAUCGUCCGCGGACGUUGUUUGCACGAUGUGGUAUACUGCGCGAAGCCGUCUACGUCGCCGGCGUCGAGCAGCAAGCACGCCGCUGCGUCCUCCUCGGGGUUCGCGGGUAGUGAGCCCGAGGUUGCGCCGCCUGUGCGCUACACCUGGUGUGCGCGCUGCGGGGAACGUGUGACGCAGCGGAUGGACUACACUCAGCUGCGCCGGCUCAAGUCCACCCGCGCGCAUCGCCGCGCCGUGCGGAAGCAGCUGCCUGACGGCGACCAGGAUUCGCCCAGGGAGAAGGACAGCGUGGACGAGGUCGCCUCGAACACGGAGCGUGUCGACGAGGAGGGCGAGGAGGAGUUCAUCAUCAACAUCAUGCCUGUUCGCGUGGUCGGCAUGGAUGGUCUGCUGCCGUCCCGCAGCCGUGGCACGCCGUGGUUGCGCGGGUACGCGCAGGAGAGCGAGGCGGCCGAGGACACCUACAUCGAGCAGCUUGAGCAGAAGCCGCCAGUGAUGCGGGUGUGCCGUUUUAUCGAAGGCUCCGUCGGGGACAAGAUCGUCAACCGUGCCGCGCUUGUCACGCUGCUGUCGUAUCGCCCCAUGUGUCGGCAGGCGGGGCUCAGCGACGCCCUGACGCGGCCCAUCUGGUCCAUGUGUGUGCUGUCGAAUAUUCCGUACCUGCAGAUGGUGCGGGAGACCUUCUUUAGAGCCAAGGCGGCGGUCGCGGAGGUGGACAACGACGAUCUGCUGCUGCGCGACUGGCUCGACGUCGUCGAUCGCGAAAACAACUUCUACAACUUCAUCAACGCGAACCUGCACAUGACGCGUAACUUCACCCCACCGGAGCGGACGGUGCGGCAGCGCGAGCAGGCCGACGAUGUCGCCAGCGCAGGCACAGCAUCGAGUCGGAGGACGACUACCGGUCGUGGCUGUGGCGUCAGAGAGGGCGGCAACGUCGGCGUCGGCCCUGCCGGCUCCUCGUCGGUAACGUCACCGUCGCUGCUGAAGACGGCCGUGUACUCCGCCGUUGAAGAUAAUGGCAGCCCCACGGAGAGUCACGCGGCGCACUCCGCAACGUCGGCGAGCGGUGCCACGACAUCGCCGUCGCGCCGCAGGGCAGCCCCCGCUGCGGCGGUGGCGGCGCGCGAGUCGGCCGAGACGGCCGAGCACACGACAGACGCGGCGGCGCAGGGCGUGUGCUGCAAGAGGAAGGACCAGGACGGCGACUUGAAGCCGGCGGAAGGCGACGGCGCCGGUCUGCGCGGUCGCCACCUCACACGCGCUCUCGAGGAAGCCACGAUCGGGCGACCCGAGGGCUACGACCCGCGCGACCAGGUCGAGGAAGACGAAGACGACGAGGAUGACGCAGGGGACGAGGGCGGGGAGCGGGGCGCCAGCGACGGCGUGGGCGAGAGCGACGUGGCUGCCAAGGCCGCUGCACGGCGUGAAAAAGGUAAGAAGAAGUUGCAGCACAAGGACUUGGGGCUGCCAUCGCUCUGUUGGGACACCGCGUCUCCGCCGGCGUCAUCAACGGACCGAAGUGCCGCGGCUUCUGCCGCAGCAUCGGCAUCACCUUUCACGGAGGAUACGAAACAGAAGAGAAGUGAUGGCCAGGGCAACCCCGUAGCGGCAAGUGCGAUAGGCGGCCUGCCUGCUGCGGUCGACAGUAGCUAUGUGGCCCAUCGCCACCGCAGUGGUGGCAAUAAAGAUGGUGAGGAUGCAUCUGGCAAGCCCCCAGCCACGGUCACCACCACCUCCCGCUUACUGCCAAACGCCGCGUCGGCGCGCGCCGCCACCGGGCAGGGCAGCAGUGGUGAAGGCGACGGAAUGAGACCCUCCGUGAAUAACUUCGACGAUGAUGAUGAUCCGGACCUGCGCACGGAGGAAGAGGAGCGCCGUUGCGCACGCGUUAGCGUCGCGAAGACCGCAGAGACGAGUGGUUCCUCGCUCCAGAAGCCGACACCACCAUCAGCGGUAGCGGUGGAGGCGCGCGGUGCAGAAAAGCAGCCGCACCAGCAGCGGCCAGAGGUGCCGCCGCGGCCGAAUUUCCAACUCUUUUCAUCCCGACUUGAGCCGCAUGCGCCACUGUCGCUCUGCACGCUCUUCGACUACGACGCUAGCGCUGACCAAGCCGCGAAGAAGGCGGUCACGCAGCUGGCCGCCGCCGUUGCGGCUGGCGUAGCCGCCGACCACACAAACAAUGCCGGCAGCCGAGAGGAAGACGGCGUGGGCCAGGCGACCGCCGCCAGUGCCGCUGCAAAAGCCGCCACCACCGUAUGGCCCAGCUACGUUCAACGCGACAUCCUGCGUGAGAACGAGCGACAGCAGGCGGAGCCGAAAGCCACGCGGCGCCCUAGCCAUGCCCUGUACGAGUGCGGCAUGCUGGCCACCACCCGCGGCCGCAACUUCCUCUUUCUCCUACGCGAGGACUGCGUGCGGGCGCUGCUGUUCUACUGCGCCGCCGCCGCGGCCCCCAUCUUCAUUGGCGCGUACAUCGAGCCAGUGGACACAACGAGCCUCAGCUACGGUGGCGCGGUGCGGCUGCGACGGCCGAGCACCGUCGACAUCCCGCUCGAUGGCGGCGACGAGGAUGGCGGCAGCCGCACCGCCCCGGGGCGCAACUACGAUGGCCAGCGGGUAGUCAUUGGGCAGGUAGAGGGGAUGGAGGUGAUGGCCGAAUACUUCAAGAGCAAAGGCCUCAUCACGUGCUUCAGCGUGUCGGAUGUGGACAAGGCGGCCCCCGGGCCGAGCGCUGCGCACCGACUGCGCAAGCUGAUCUUGCCAACGACCUCAUUAUCCACCACCUAUGCACAGCACCGCAGCAGCAGUAGCGGUGGCCUUGCAGGGGAGGCAGGCUCGUUGGCGGCUCAGCAGGCACGAGAGCUGGCACAGUACGGUCACGUCUUCACCUACGCCGCGGACGAUUUCUGUGAUGGUGACUUGGUCGUCUUCAAUUUCGAAGAGCGGCGGUGGGAGCACUACGAGCAUGUGCAGCUGCGCCGACGAUUCGCUGCGAGGGCAGCCACAGCUGCUGCGGAUGCGGUGGCGACGGCGGCAUCUGCGAUGCCGGUGAAAACCGCCGAACCAAUGUCCACGGGCAACGUAGCGGUAGCUGCUGACGGCAGCCGGAGCUGCGCCCGCUCCGUCGUGGACCCCUCCAUGUCCGCCAGACUCCUGUGCGUCGGGCUGGAUGAGCUGCUGCUGAGCUGGACCAAGUGGAUCGUCGACAACCGCUUCUACGAAGACCGCACCGACCUGGGCUGGCUAAGCCUUCCAGACGGCAGCCCUAUCCAACUCGGCGGUCGUUACUUUCUCUGGAGCUUCCGCCACAAUCAUCAGCGCUACUUCUACGGCGUCAUUCCGAAAUUCGCGAAGGGGCGGCUGCGGCGACAGAAGAUGGUUGAGCGCAACCGCAGCAAGAAGAAGGACGUCGAGGCGCCGCGCCAGCAAGCGCAGCCGCUGGCGGGGAUAUUGACGUUGUCCUCGGUGGGUGUGCAGCGGUCGAGUGACGUGUCGGUGGCGCCUUCGGCACCGUCGUCCCCAGCGCUCGUCACCGCCGUUGCCGCCACCCUCUCCUCUCCCCCCAGGCCCAGCGGCGAAAGCCCUUGGGGGGCAAACGACACGCUUGAGGCGCAGCAAGAAGGAGAACCGCCGCGGCGCGGCAGCGUCACCGGCACCGGCAGCCUGCAUGCGGGUCCGGCUCUUGGUGAUCAAGCCUCCUCAUCUCCUCCGCAUCCUAGUCUAGGCGUUUCGCCACCUGCCCACGCGGGUACAGCGCAGCAGCCACCUCUGCCGCAAGAGCAACUGUCAACGUCGGCAGCUGCACAGGCUGUGUCAACAGCGGCUGCAAGCAGUACACACCCUGCGGCAAUGCGCCAGCGCCAGCGUCACUCCUCUCCCCAUCUGCAGACGCAGCAGCCGAUCGCCGCGACAUCGGCGCCUCUGCCGCUGCCUCACUGCAUGAACCCGCUCUAUACCGACAGCAUCUCUUACUCGGCGCCACACGCGCGCAUCACUCUUCCACAGCAACCGAUGCCGCAGUGGGCCAGCACUAACGCCACCGCCUCGCACGUGAGCGCUGCGCCCGCAACAGCCGGAGAACAAGCAAAGCAGGGCAACUUCGCAAGCACCCUCAGUUCUGCCGGCGGCUUCUCCGUGCACGCCGGCAGGAACGCGGCCCGGCCCGCCCUCUGCUCCCCCAAGAUCGCGGCUGGAUCGCUGACCGCCGCCGCAGCAGCGACGACAACGACGAAAACGACAACGGCAGCGCGUCGUGCCCCCUUUCCAAACCCGCCGCCGCAGCAUCCAGUCAGCGGCAGCCGCAACCGUCUCAGCGCACCCAGCAGCCCCGCCAUGUACAGAUCUGGACAGCAGAUCGGCUUCGGAGGUGGGCCAAACUACUACUACCAGUACGGCGGUAACACAUUCAUACAAGACGGAAAGCAGCACGAGAACGAGUACUACCCGCCGCUGCCCACGGGCACCCCCUUCCACCCUGCCACGGCCAUCACAAAGUUGGUGCCGCUGCCUCACCCAAAGACGGGGCGCGGCGGUAUUCCGGCCAUUUUCCGCUUCUGGGGCCCCAUCGGGUCGCCAGCGCCCCGCACGCCGGUUGCCGCGCCCUCGCUACCAACCGCAGGCGGAGCGGCGGCCACGGCCUCCUUGGCCGCCAUACCCAUCGCACUGGUGCCACAGCAGAUGCAUUCGCUGUCGCCGCGGCACCCCGCGACGGGCGGCUCGCCCGCUGCCAGCAGCUCCGUCGGUGGUGGCGAGAGCAUGGGCGUGAGUCCGGUGGAGGCACACCACCACAGUACUGGUUCCAGCCUUGACGCUGGUUCACCCACCGCACCGGCAAUCGCUCCCGCCUCCGCUACGGCUGCCGCCGGCGCAUCAGCCGUCAACUUGACGGUCCGCAUGCGCCGGCGCACCGGCGGUGGAAACACGGCAGCGAUCAGAGUGGGUGGCGGCGCUUCUCCAGCACCGCUGCAGCUACCCUCGCAGGGCACCUCCUCGCUCGGAGCCUCGCUGACGACGCUCGCGACGGCAGGGCCUGCCAUGGGGCCGGGCACACCCUUCAAGCAUAGUCCCCUAACUCCAUCAAACCUUCCUCCAGCGUCGUUGCUCGCUCAGUCCGCGCCGGCGCAACUGCUGGUUGACGAUAGCGGGUCGCAGCGACUCUCGCCGACCAGCAUGCUCCCUACCAACCUCAUUAACGAAGGAUCAAAGACGAAAGGCGAGUCGGUGCUGCGGGUGGACGAGGACACGUACAUGCAGCGGGAGGCAUUCCGGUGGAACCCGUAUGCGAGCACCAAGUGGGCGCAGAACAGAAGCAGCAGCACCGGCGGCAGUGCCAGUGACGCCCGCGGUGGUCUUCCUGCGGAGGGCGGCAGCGGAAGCGGUUAGGACAACGGCGAUGGGAGCGCGGCGAGGCCACACGCGCACGCACGAAUGCGUGCGUGCCUCCCUCCCUCCCCUUUCCACUUUUCAAUGUUUCUUCUCUCUCCCUGUCUUGGGCAUCAGUAAGCAAUGUAAAGAAGCUGAUGAACGCUGAUGUCGACGCGUGUAUGUGUACGUGUGCUUACAGCACAGCUGUGCAAGGCUAGCGCUUGUCGCUAAACGUUUGAACCGAUUUCUGAGGAGGAUCGGGCAAGGCGGUUCAGGAAUGGCCGGGCACACAUUGAAGUCAGGGGGGGGAUGCGGGAGAGAGAGGAUGGGCGACGCGAUCGGGACGAAGACAUGUCAGGAUUGCGUACAUGGAGCCAUUUAUGCUCAAGUGCAUGGGGGCUGGGAACGUUCUCAUUCCACUUGCCCUCAAUCUACACGGUUGUGCAAACAAGGAAUGUCCAGUGAAAGUGGUGGAGCGCCGUUGUCCACCCGAACCUCCCCUCUCCCCCACACUCCGCCGAGGCACAAUCGCCCACCUGCAUUGUUUUCAAGAUAGGUAUAUUUACAUAUAAGGUGUACAUAUAUAGAGGGAGAGAACGCCCUGCCCUGCCGCCGCCGCCGCCCCCUCCUAGCAUUAUCUAUGUGCAGGAUUACAUCUGUAUAUAUCUAUAUGCUUGCCGGAAUGCAGUGGGCGUUGUUCUUCGUCUUGUCACGUCUCUUUCGUCGAAGACGCGACGGCACUGGAAAUGCAGCGCGUGCCUCCUCUGCUGCCCUUACGUGUGUUUGUCUGAUUGUGUGUGUGUGUGUGUGUGUGUGUGUGUGGCUUCCUUUGCAGAAGAGCAAGGCAUUCGCACGUCGACCGGGAACAUUGAACUCGUGGCACCCCCACGUGCGGUCAUGAGCUCUUCGUCCUUCGGUGCACCACUCUGUACGGUACGUCAUCACUGCCUCAUCACCGUUUUAGCGCAGUUCUCACAUUGUUGUUUACGGUGCCGUCUUGCAUCUCCCUCUGCAUCGCGUUGCCGCCAACGUUUUGCCAUGCAGCUUCCUCCCAGCUUCCAGUUUUGUGAGGAAGCUGGCACGCCGACAGCUCACUGCGCCCUCGGCGGGUUUGAGCGGGUGGCACUGUAUACACGGACUGCGCUACAAGAGAGCCUCCCCACCACCACCACCACCACCAUCACCAAUAUGUGUAAGCACACAUGCGACGGCGCAAGAAUGUGUCAUGGGCCGUCUCGUGUGUAACGUGAUCUCUGCGUGUGCUCUCUCCCGCACAAGAAGACGCUGAGCAUGUGCCUGGCCAGUGUCGCGAAGGCGUGGUCCAACUUGUGCGCUCAAACGCGGCGGAAUGCUGAAAAGGGCAGGCGGCCAGCCGGGAGCGUCAGCGAUGCGCCUCACACUCUUUCCAUUCCUUGAUCUUCUUCCCCUCUGCCCAGUCACGCGGCAUCACAGUCCCGCUCCCCACCAAUGCUGCCAGUGGCGGCACUGCCGCUCCUCGCACGCUUUACUUGGCAUAUAGGCAAUGGCAGUUCCCGCCCCAAAACUCAAGAUAACAACAACACAAAAAAAAAAGAAUAAUCAUCACGGCUUUAGAGCCGUGUCUAUCACAGCCGUAACCUUCCCAUCACCAUCAGUGCUGUGAGCGACGCCUCCUGAACUCUUCCCCAUCUUCAACCUCUCUGUCUCUCUGCCGGUCAGAGCGCGGCACGGCGCGGGUGUUUGCGUCACCAUCUGCUCAGCGCGAGCAGGGAAACGAAAUAAUGGCGGCAGCG